CGCCCACUUCCGGCUCGCGCUCCGCCCUCCUAACUGCGAGCAUCCCAGCGCUGCCAAUCCGCUACGAGAAGCCAAUCCCCGGCCUCUCUCUCAUGGGGGCGGGACUUUCUCGCCUCUAGAGAACUGCCGGUCAUCCCCGCCCUCUGCCCCGCCCCCUCUAUGGUCUUUCCUUCGGCCACACCCUUGGCACCACUUCAGGUUCCCACUCCGAAGGUUCUACAGGUGCAUGUUCAGGCUGUUAUUCCAACGUCCCGGAGUGGGCUACUUCAAAGCUAGAUGUCCUUGUGGAAGUCUCUCCCUCACCUCAGUCUUCUCAACUGUGAAAUGGAGUCAAGAACAACUUCAUGAGGCUUCUACAUAAAAAAAGGAGUGGUAUUGAAACUUCUGUGAAUUAAAAAAAAAUUGAGGCUAUGUGGCCUGGCCAGGAUGAGCGACAAGAAUACUAGAGUCACAAUGAGAAAAUAUGAGUCUCGGAGUCCAAAGGAGUCUGUGAAGUGAAGAUGACAGGGCCUCCCUCCUUCCAGGUCCGAGAGUCUUCUUGGCAGUAUAAGUUUAGCCCAUUGCAAUCUUACUCCUCCUGGACCACUGUGAGCAUAUCAGCACCUUCCUCGAAUGCAGAAAAUGAGAUGUUCCAUGGAUACAGGCAGAUCCCAAAUGGGAGAAUGAGAGAUUGAAUCAAGUAUGCAAAGCUUGCCUCCUAAACUCCUUUACAAGGUCUUCUGAUAUUAGACUCUUCACCUGUGAAAUGAGGUGAAGAAGAAUGUUAAACACCUUCCCGAAUCUCUUCUACUACAGACCACCAGACCUCAGGCACUUCUACCCUUGUGGAAUCUUCAUUUUGUGAAAUGUUUUCUUGUGAAAAAUACAGCUGCACACCCUCUGUGUAUUCCUGCAUCAGAUAUUGUAUUCUGAUUGUGGUCAGUGAAGAAUAUUAAUAAAGCACAGGGCACACUGACUUGA